GACGAACGCUGGCGGCGUGCUUAACACCUGCAAGUCGAACGAAGUGGCGAACGGGUGAGUAACGCGUACUCAACCUGCCCUUCAGAGGGGGACAACAGUUGGAAACGACUGCUAAUACCGCAUACUGAAGGCGGGGAUUGCGUCUGAUUAGCUAGUUGGAGGGGUAACGGCCCAACAAGGCGAUGAUCAGUAGCUGGUUGGAGGUGUAGCGGCCCCCCAUGGCACUGAGCAUUAGCUGGUAUGAGAGGAUGAACAGCCACAUUGGGCCUGCGACACGGCCCGGACUCCUAGGGGAGGCAGCGGUGGGGAAUCUUCCGCAAUGGACGCGCCGCGUGAGUGAUGACGGCCUUCGGGUUGUAAAGCUCUGUUAAACGAGACGAAAGGCCUUCUUGCGAAUAGUGAGAAGGAUUGAUGGUACCGGAAUAGAACGCCACGGCUAACUACGUGCCAGCAGCCGCGGUAAUUC
rnacentral:rRNA from 1 species